rnacentral:rRNA from 1 species
AGGACGGCGCAGCUACACAUGCAGUCGAGCGGUAGCACAGAGAGCUUGCUCUCGGGUGACGAGCGGCGGACGGGUGAGUAAUGUCUGGGAAACUGCCUGAUGGAGGGGGAUAACUACUGGAAACGGUAGCUAAUACCGCAUAAUGUCGCAAGACCAAAGUGGGGGACCUUCGGGCCUCAUGCCAUCAGAUGUGCCCAGAUGGGAUUAGCUAGUAGGUGGGGUAACGGCUCACCUAGGCGACGAUCCCUAGCUGGUCUGAGAGGAUGACCAGCCACACUGGAACUGAGACACGGUCCAGACUCCUACGGGAGGCAGCAGUGGGGAAUAUUGCACAAUGGGCGCAAGCCUGAUGCAGCCAUGCCGCGUGUGUGAAGAAGGCCUUCGGGUUGUAAAGUACUUUCAGCGGGGAGGAAGGCGAUAAGGUUAAUAACCUUGUCGAUUGACGUUACCCGCAGAAGAAGCACCGGCUAACUCCGUGCCAGCAGCCGCGGUAAUACGGAGGGUGCAAGCGUUAAUCGGAAUUACUGGGCGUAAAGCGCACGCAGGCGGUCUGUCAAGUCGGAUGUGAAAUCCCCGGGCUCAACCUGGGAACUGCAUUCGAAACUGGCAGGCUAGAGUCUUGUAGAGGGGGGUAGAAUUCCAGGUGUAGCGGUGAAAUGCGUAGAGAUCUGGAGGAAUACCGGUGGCGAAGGCGGCCCCCUGGACAAAGACUGACGCUCAGGUGCGAAAGCGUGGGGAGCAAACAGGAUUAGAUACCCUGGUAGUCCACGCCGUAAACGAUGUCGAUUUGGAGGUUGUGCCCUUGAGGCGUGGCUUCCGGAGCUAACGCGUUAAAUCGACCGCCUGGGGAGUACGGCCGCAAGGUUAAAACUCAAAUGAAUUGACGGGGGCCCGCACAAGCGGUGGAGCAUGUGGUUUAAUUCGAUGCAACGCGAAGAACCUUACCUGGUCUUGACAUCCACAGAACUUAGCAGAGAUGCUUUGGUGCCUUCGGGAACUGUGAGACAGGUGCUGCAUGGCUGUCGUCAGCUCGUGUUGUGAAAUGUUGGGUUAAGUCCCGCAACGAGCGCAACCCUUAUCCUUUGUUGCCAGCGGUUCGGCCGGGAACUCAAAGGAGACUGCCAGUGAUAAACUGGAGGAAGGUGGGGAUGACGUCAAGUCAUCAUGGCCCUUACGACCAGGGCUACACACGUGCUACAAUGGCAUAUACAAAGAGAAGCGACCUCGCGAGAGCAAGCGGACCUCAUAAAGUAUGUCGUAGUCCGGAUUGGAGUCUGCAACUCGACUCCAUGAAGUCGGAAUCGCUAGUAAUCGUAGAUCAGAAUGCUACGGUGAAUACGUUCCCGGGCCUUGUACACACCGCCCGUCACACCAUGGGAGUGGGUUGCAAAAGAAGUAGGUAGCUUAACCUUCGGGAGGGCGCUACCACUUGAUCGUGGC